rnacentral:rRNA from 1 species
AACGAACGCUGGCGGCAUGCCUAACACAUGCAAGUCGAACGAGAUCUUCGGGUCUAGCGGCGCACGGGUGCGUAACGCGUGGGAAUCUGCCCUUUGGUUCGGAAUAACAGUUGGAAACGACUGCUAAUACCGGAUGAUGACGAAAGUCCAAAGAUUUAUCGCCAGAGGAUGAGCCCGCGUAGGAUUAGCUAGUUGGUGUGGUAAGGCGCACCAAGGCGACGAUCCUUAGCUGGUCUGAGAGGAUGAUCAGCCACACUGGGACUGAGACACGGCCCAGACUCCUACGGGAGGCAGCAGUGGGGAAUAUUGGACAAUGGGCGAAAGCCUGAUCCAGCAAUGCCGCGUGAGUGAUGAAGGCCUUAGGGUUGUAAAGCUCUUUUACCCGGGAUGAUAAUGACAGUACCGGGAGAAUAAGCUCCGGCUAACUCCGUGCCAGCAGCCGCCGUAA